UGGGGAAUAUUGCACAAUGGGCGCAAGCCUGAUGCAGCAACGCCGCGUGAACGAUGAAGGUCUUCGGAUCGUAAAGUUUUGUUGCAGGGGAAGAUAAUGACGGUACCCUGUGAGGAAGCCCCGGCUAACUACGUGCCAGCAGCCGCGGUAAUACGUAGGGGGCUAGCGUUAUCCGGAUUUACUGGGCGUAAAGGGUGCGUAGGUGGUCUUUCAAGUCGGUGGUUAAAGGCUACGGCUCAACCGUAGUUAGCCUCCGAAACUGGAAGACUUGAGUGCAGGAGAGGAAAGUGGAAUUCCCAGUGUAGCGGUGAGAUGCGUAGAUAUUGGGAGGAACACCAGUAGCGAAGGCGGCUUUCUGGACUGCAACUGACACUGAGGCACGAAAGCGUGGGUAGCGAACAGG
rnacentral:rRNA from 1 species